UACGUAGGGGCGCAAGCGUUUAUCCGGAAUUAUUGGGCGUAAAGAGCUCGUAGGCGGUUUGUCGCGUCUGCCGUGAAAGUCCGGGGCUCAACUCCGGAUCUGCGGUGGGUACGGGCAGACUAGAGUGAUGUAGGGGAGACUGGAAUUCCUGGUGUAGCGGUGAAAUGCGCAGAUAUCAGGAGGAACACCGAUGGCGAAGGCAGGUCUCUGGGCAUUAACUGACGCUGAGGAGCGAAAGCAUGGGGAGCGAACAGG
rnacentral:rRNA from 1 species